UAAUGAAAAAAGUGAGGAAAAAUGGAGCCCAUGAGGGGAUAGGAAUCAGCAUGAUUUGGCGACCUGGUACUAAGAAUAAAUGACUAGUGUGUUUAGAUUGCCAGCUUCUUGUUCUGAGUCAUCUGAUCAAGAGGCAGUUUCCCAGAUUUCCGAGAAGCACACUCUGAGAUGAGGAUGUGUGAACCCACAAUGAUUUCAGUGCUCCUGGGGGAAACUAUGAGGAUGUGAAGAGGGAGCCCAGGAAUGGAUACCCAAGAAAAAAAUGUCCAAUUAUUUGGGCAGAGGGCAGUCAAGCCUAUGCUGAAUUGUAGACACUGCUGUGUUCCUGCACCUGUUUCAGUUAUCAGAGUCUCCUAAAAAGCUUCACAACCUACCACUGUCCACACAGGCUUUCUGGUUCCCAUGUUGCAAGGCUGAAAAUAGAGUCCGAGGUAAGAUUCAAGAAACUCUUUAAGA